CAGCAGCGCCCCUGGGCAGCGCGGGCGGGAAUGGGAACCCCCGCCUGGGAGGCAGGAUAUCUCCGGGGGAUAAUUGUAAGGGGAAAGCCUUGCAGUACCCAGCCAAUGGGGAGAGAAGGGAGGGAACCUUGGCUUCGAGUACAGGGAACAGAUGCUCCGUGCUUUAAGGGUUAAAGCCAGAGAGUGCAAGCUGCUAGAGUGGAGGGUGCUGCUGCUCGAUACUGACUUGGGAAAGGGGGCGCGGCUUAAGCAGAACAGCUGACCCGCCCCCUCUGCCGUCCUGCACUGUCCUUGUCCUGCAAGGAAUCCGGUCAGUCCCUAGCUAGAGAUCUGCCAUCCCCUUGUCGCGGUCCAGAUUUGGGUCUCUGCCUCCUAGGAGUUUAGACGCACACGGUUGAGACAUGUUGACUGCAGCAGGCAAUGGCUCCCUUGCAUGUGUGAACAGCCUGGAUGGCUGCUGUCAGAGCCAGAGAACAGAUGGAUGUCAGGCCGACCCUGCAUUCUUAUCCCGUUCCCCAGGCUCUCCCCACAGUGAUGGGAGGUGGGCCAGGAAAUGGACAUUUUUAUACAUAUGAAAAGCAAAUCAUGGACUGAGAACAUUUGUUUUGUAAAGUUAAAAAAAGUCUUUUUUUUAAAAAAAAGUUUUUGUUUA